GGGCCCGCACAAGCGGUGGAGUAUGUGGUUUAAUUCGAUGCAACGCGAAGAACCUUACCAGGGUUUGACAUCCUGCGAAUCUCUUGGAAACGAGAGAGUGCCUUCGGGAACGCAGUGACAGGUGGUGCAUGGCUGUCGUCAGCUCGUGUCGUGAGAUGUUGGGUUAAGUCCCGCAACGAGCGCAACCCACGUCUUUAGUUGCCAGCAUUUAGUUGGGCACUCUAGAGAGACUGCCGGUGAUAAACCGGAGGAAGGUGUGGAUGACGUCAAGUCAUCAUGCCCCUUACAUCCUGGGCUACACACGUACUACAAUGCUACGGACAAAGGGCUGCAAGUUCGCGAGGACAAGCAAAUCCCAUAAACCGUGGCUCAGUUCGGAUUGUACUCUGCAACUCGAGUGCAUGAAGUUGGAAUCGCUAGUAAUCG
rnacentral:rRNA from 1 species